UACGGGGGGGGCAAGCGUUGUUCGGAAUUAUUGGGCGUAAAGAGCUCGUAGGCGGUCUGUCGCGUCGAUCGUGAAAACUUGGGGCUUAACCCUGAGCUUGCGGUCGAUACGGGCAGACUGGAGUACUGCAGGGGAGACUGGAAUUCCUGGUGUAGCGGUGGAAUGCGCAGAUAUCAGGAAGAACACCCGUGGCGAAGGCGGCUCUCUGGGACGGUACUGACGCUGAGACGCGAAAGCGUGGGGAGCGAACAGG
rnacentral:rRNA from 1 species